CGUCGGUCCAUACAACUGAGAGCGAUCCCUCAAAGAAACUUUUAAGUAGCAGGAAUGCCCCCAGACCCUCGCAUCCUGACUGGGAUGCACUGAAAUCGGGAUGGCAAGGUUCCACUCCACAAGUGAAUCCCCAAAGAGUCGAGUGACCUCCUCUGUUCUCCUACUGGAGCCAUCAGUAGUAAUAAGAUCAGACACCCUCAUGUGGUCCUCCACCUCAUUGCUGAUAAGGGUCAGCCAGUGGG
rnacentral:lncRNA from 1 species